CAAGAAGAAAGCGAGGGAGGGCAGGCAGCUGCAAGCUGCUACCACCUGCCCCUGCAUCCACUGCUCACCUCCCGCCAGCUCCUGCCCUCCGGAGCCCACCCCUGUGUUCUGAUGGGUGGUUUGCUGAGAGCCCAGAGUGGGCGAAUGUCUGAGGAGGGGGCUGCUCUGGGCCUGGAGGGAAGCCUAGCCCUGUGUAAGCCUCUAUGAGAGGGAUCUAGCCGACUGUUGCUUCUGCAGGGAGAUGGAGAAUGAGACAGAAGAGGAAGAGAAGCCAAGAGAGGAGUAAGAUGUGUGGGGGUGGGGGGCAAAAGACAGAGAGGCAAGGAAUAGAAGUGCAGGCUUCUAAGAGAGAGAGGGAAAGACAGACAGAUGCACAGAGAGAAAGAGAGAAAGGAGGAAAGACAGAGUCCACAGGAAGAAGAGGGAUGCAAAGAGAGAAUGGAAGGAGAGGCAGAAUGUUUUCUGAUUGGAGUCCAGCCCUGUAGAAGUAUGAGAUUUGGGGAGUGAUUGCUCUUCCUCACACGUCUGGUGCUGACAUUGACAUGGGAAGAGCAGAGAUGUUAUUAGAGGCCUGGAUGUCAGGAAGAUGACAAGGAUGACAUCAACACCACAUCAUGUCGAAGAAGAUUGGUAUGGUGGCUUUCCGGAGCUCAGCCUCAGGGAUAAGUGUCAUCUCUAAUAUAGGUCCUACCAUGCCUGGGAUGAAGCAGAUUUUGUUCUGACCUGAAAGAGAAGAGGAACAUGAACACAUAAAACAGUUCGGCGACGCACAGGUCCUCCUCCGACCAAGCCUGGGGAAAGAAAAAAAGGGAAGCAUAAUAGUAAAAACAAUAGUUAACACUUAUAUAGUUGUUUACCAUGAGCCAGGCACCGUUUUGAACACUUAACAUAUAUUAACUCCCGUUAGAGCGCAUGCAUUAUCCAAAACAAGCCCGAUUAUUAAGGCUAAUAACACGGGCGUGCGUGUAGAAAGCACUUCACUGUUUACAAGGGUUUUCACCUGCAGUGUCUGCUCUGCAAAUAGGGCCAUGAUUGAAUAUGUUAGAGAUGGCAAAGCACAGCACAUUUGAAAUUAUGUCUGUCUGAAAUACAUGCCGUGUUGCUGAGAGUUUUUAAAUGGGAUUUUACCAACUGUUUUAUGAAAUGAGAAAAGCAAAAUUUGCUACUAAGAACUCGCUAUAAUAGUGUGGUCAGUGGAACGGGGAGAUUUAAAACAUAGCUUGAGGAUCAGAUGAACCACAACUUCUCGUCUCUUCUGCCUCAUUUCAAGGCAUUCCCUCCAUCCCCUCCCCUGGCUCCUGGCAUUCUAGCCUAGCUGGGGUUGCUCAAAUGUCACAAUUUCACCUUGCUUCCCCCACAGCAAGGCUUGUGCACAUUAUGCCCCUUUGCUGAGAAUACUUUUCCCUGUCUGCUCCCUAACCCAAUACCCAUUACCACGCAGCCUCCCCCAGAUGGGUGCUAUCUUAGCUUAAACACUCCUUCCUCUGGGAGAAAAGCCCCCUCUCUACACCUCCCACCCUUAGCUAGAAAAGAUUCCUUGCACUGCCUUUAUAUGUUUUGCCAAUUUUGAAAUGAUAUCUUUAUAUGUCGAAUCGUUUGAUUAACAUCUGCCUCCCCCACUAGAGACCAUGUCUGUUCUCCUCAUUGUGUCUAUAGCACUGAGCACAGGACUUAUCAGAUGAUCAGUAAACACCUGCUGAAUGAGAAAAUAAAUUUUCCAGCUCCUACAUUCCCUGGCUAUGGGACUUGUAUAUAUGUCUCAUAAAAAUGCAAAAGUGAUACCCAGCUGUUGAGAAGAUCUUGCAAAAAUAUGUCCGCAUGUACUUAGCACAGAGCGCAGAAGAAUCAGUGCCAAGGGCAGUGUUGCCCAGUGGUUAAGGGCACCAACUCUGGAGCCAGACGGCCUGAGUGUGUAAAUUGACUCCACUAUCAAUUACAGCUGUGUAAUGUUGAUCAAGUUUGUCUCCC
rnacentral:lncRNA from 1 species